CAAUGGGCUGUCUCCCUUCCCAGCAAACCAACCAAGCAUUGAAAUUUAAUAGCUCUCCGGCCUUUCUGCGUCCCAGCGAUUAGGCCUGUGAUUAAAGCCCAUGUGCUGCUUUGCUGGCUGGGAGGCAAAUUCCUCUGCAGGGCCCGUGAAAUCGGCUCCGGGCGCCGCGCUGGGCGCCGGCUCCUCGCCCUCUCCCGUGUCUGACCAGGGAGCCCUGGGGUGACCCCGGCCGUCCCUCCAAAGCUCGCUCCUCCCUGCCCGGGGAAGGGCGGAGGGCUGGGAGCCCGGGGCCGGGCUGGUACCGCCGGGGAAGGGAGCACAGCUCGGGGCGCCGAGCCCGGAGCAGCCGGGGCUGCGCGCCCACGGCCGGCGGGAGCGCGGCGGGACCGGGGCCGUGCCUGCCCGGGGAACGGGAGCGUGCCGGAGGAACCCGGAGGGCUGGCUCGUGGUGACUCCAUCCCCAGAAGAAAUCGGUUCCUGCUGGAAGCAAGACGGGGCCGCGGGCAGAGAGGAGGGUGCUGGGCGUGCUGGGGCUCCCCGGGGACAGAUCCCUGCUCCGGGCUGGCGACAGGGCCAGCCUGGCUUUGCCACUGGGACAGUGGCACCCGUUCUUCCCCACACAGAUGGAAACUGGGAGCUGUGGUGUGAUAGCCCUGGGGCGUUUCACCCCAAAUCCCAACACCCUGGGCAGCUCCGCUGAAGGACACUGCUGGAGCAGGGGUGGCUGGGAGCUGUCACCCCGUGUGCAGCCACGCUGUUUGGGGACACCCAUCGUGGGGACAGGGACGGGGAUGGAGCAAACCCUGGAGCAGCCCAGGCACCUCCACCACAUACCCCGGGGUGUCCCAUCCGCGCCCAGGCGUGUCCAGAGUGGCAGGGUGUGCACCCCUGGCCUGGCAGAGGCAGGAGGGUGCCUGGAGAGGGGGACAAGGGGGACCAGGCACCCACCACCCCUGGGUGACUCUCAGAUGGGACCCUGUGAAAGCAGGGACUGAAUCCCUGCCGGGAGACGUGAAUGUCCAUGUCGGGAGAUUGCAGGCACCGGCAAGAGGCUUAACUUAAAAAAAAAAAAAGGUUUAUUAAUUUCAA